CCCUCAGGGCUUCUGCGUGGAGGCCGGGGGCCACCUUCUCUCGGCUGCUGUCAGAAGGGGGAGCUGGCACUGAUAAAAGGUUGGGAUGACAGUCUCCAUCUCCCACGUCUUCUUCCUGCGAAAAGAGCAACUCAUGUUUCAUCAUAAAGCACUAUUCCAGCCAAGCUAGGAGGUUCCAUAAUGGCAGGUUUCAAGCAAUACAAGGAGCUGCAGGUGGGGCUGUGUUGGGUUGGGCACUGCAAGGAAUGGUCUACCCACCUCUGCAAAACAACCUGGUGGAAAAAGAUGACGGAGAGAUGCCCGUGCUGUGCCUGAAACUUCAGAAGGCAUCGCUUUCGUUACGCCGGUGCAAACUUUCCCACUCAAAGCCAUUUGCUACAAGGCUUGGAUUACCCACUGCUAUCUCUCCUUGAUGUCCCAGGAAACGUCCCCAUACCCAGCCAGCUUUUCACGCAGAGAAAUGUGGGAGUGAUGGGAAGUAGGAACUUGGAAGCUGGGGCCGGUCCCUGCCACAGCACCAGGAUGCUUUGGACUCUUAACACCUUUCUUCUUCCAUACUCAUGGGCUCAUGGCUGGAUCUCAGCUUGGAGUGCUGGCAGCGGGGAAGAAGGAGUUGAGAGUAGAGAUUCCCUGUGCUUCUGAGAUCCACACCAGUCAUGAAACAAGAGAAUGUUCAGAGACGCCCACCUGACAAUUCUGUAAGUGCUGAUGAGCCUUCCAACCUGCUGCAGGCUCCGUUGUGCUGGGGAUGGGCUCUUCCAGCACUCCGACAGCAAGGGGAAAGCUUUCCUCAUUGGUAAAGCUGAGAGUAACUCUGAGUUAUUCUGAAGUAACAUGACAAGCUGCUUUAAGCAACACGAGAUAUUUAAUCCUGACAGCUUGAGCUUAGGCAGGCUUGGAGCUGAACCAUAGUGGAGCAUCACUUGAGGAGAGGAGCAUCUCUUAUGGGAUGCAGGAGCAGCUGACCAAACACAAAACCCAAAACCCUUCCUCGCUAAUCCUGUGCUUGCAAGAGACAGGGUUGUAUUGAGUGACCUCUGCUGCUUCAUUUUCUGUAUUUUAUAUAUUGCAUGUCCUCAGUGUGAGCAUCACAUCUCCUUUAGUUCCCUGUGCUUUCUUUGCAAUGUGUUUCUCAUUUCCCUGACCCGAGAGAAGCUCUUCCCUGUGCUAUGCCUUGAAACAUGCAUCAUUCUCCUGCAUGCUGCAGGGGCAAAAAAUAAGAUUCUCCAUUUUGGGGGACGCAGAGGAUCAUCCCCCAAAUUCCUGGAGCUGGGUGUCAUGAGCUGAUGAUUAUCACAGGACUCUCUGCAACACAAUAUGCAGAAUAGUGCCUGACCAAAAGCUGUUUGGAAGAAAAUCUUCUUGCGUAGCAGGAACACCAGCCCAUUCCCUCAGAAAAGCAUUUGUGUGAUAACAGAAUCAUCUACUUUGGAAAAGGCCUUCAAGAUCAAAGUCUGUACAGACAGGAUUUGAGCUGGCUUUUAUCAGGACAAGCUAAAUUCUUUGGAAAAAUGUCACCUGAGGUGACUUUGUGAUGUCUGGGCAGGCUGCCGUGCCAAGACCAAAGCCAGCCCUGGGGCUCCUGCUGGGCAAUGCCACCUGAGUGCAAUGACCUUGGUGCCGGAGGCAGCAUGGGGUUGUCCAGGACUGGUGCAAAGGCUGGGAUGCGAGCACAAAAAUAAACCCUCUGUGCAAAAAAUAUCUUUGGUUUCCUUUUGUGGAGUGGAGGAGAAGGAUGCUGUGUGCAGGUGGUGCAGGUUUGUGAAAAUUCGGAUAUUAGAUCUAGGUUAGGUGGGUCCAAGACCGUGGGCAAAUCCAUUACUGGGUGGUGGAGGGAGACAGCACGCUCCCAUGGUCCGUGGCAAUGGGGCAGGGGGGGACGUUAUGGUGUUUUGAAGCUCCAAAUGGAGUCUUCUCCUUGCUCCCCUCUGCCUGAGCACGGCAGCCCUUCUUUAAUAGGAACACACAGUAAAACAUGAGCUGUUAAAGCUCUCCUCAUGGCUGGGCUUCUGAUCAGGGAAGCAUUAAUUACGUUUGAGAGCAAAGGAGAGAGACUAAUGAAGGGGAGAUCAAAGGGAGCAGUGAGCACGCCAAGUUCAAAACCACAGCUCAUCCUGAGGAUGCUCUGCUGGGAUCUACCCUAAUACUGACCCACAGCUCUCUUGUCCUCCUCUGGACCAUGCAUUCACCCAAGGAUGAGCUAUUGGGUGACUCCUCACCACUGAGACCCUAUUCAUGGGGUGGAGUUGGCUGCUGGCCAGGCUAAGCACAGGAUCAGAGAGGGGAUUGUAAAUUAUUUAGCUGGGGAAGUGCUCAAGGCUUUGCAGCUCUUGGUUUGCACCAGCUCUCAGGAGCUUGUGCAGCCCAUGGGCACUGGGAGAUGCCCAGGGAAAAGGGGACCCCAGGGAAGGAGCUGGUGAAGAUAAAAGACAAUAUUGGUACAAGAGUACUAAUGUGGUUUAGUUUGAAAAUGAGGAGCCUGCUGAUGAGAAUCAUAGAAUCAUUAAGAUUGGAAAAGACCUCUAAGAUAAUUUAGUCCAACUGUCCACUAACCGCCAGUAUCACCCACCGACCAUGUCCCUCAGUGCCACAUCUCCUUGGCUCUUGAACAGCUCCAGGGACGGUGACUCCACCACCU